CAAAGGCUGGGUUGAGGUUUGUAGGGGGAAUGAGAUGAGGCAGUGGAGCCAUGUGACAGGGACUGAGGGUAGAUUACUGGAGCUCCCUGCGUAGAAUGAAUGUUCAAUCAAAACCUGCUGGAGGGAGAGCUGGAGCCAUAGGGGAGUGGGUAAAGUGGGCAGGGCUGAUUCCACAAUUCCCUGCAUGCUCCCCCAACUCCACACACAUCCCCAACCUCAAACAGGGCACAAGACCAAAGGGCUGAGGAGCCAGGCUAUAGCUUAAAG
rnacentral:lncRNA from 1 species